rnacentral:tRNA from 1 species
GCAUGUAUGGCUGAGGGGUCGAAAGCAACAGACUCAUAAUCUGUUUUCCGGUCGGACACCGCAGGUUCAAAUCCUGUUACAUGCA